rnacentral:snoRNA from 1 species
ACCUUCCUGUUUCUUACCCAACAGUCCUGAACACUGGUCUGAGUGGUCACAAAAGGAGGGAAAGUAACAUUGUUUUUUGUGACACACAAGUUACAUAGUUUCCAAGAAACAAACCGAC